AGAACACAGACAAAACUGCAGCAGGGAAGCUUAUUGAUGCCUCAUCUACUGGAUGUUCCCAUUACACAGGUCCCCAAGGGAAAGACAAGGAUACAGAGAACUAUGAAUCUCUGAACACCAGAGCCCUGGAGAUCUCUCCUUAUUCUACACUUCAUCUGCAACAGAAGAGUGAACCUGCC